rnacentral:rRNA from 1 species
GCUGACGACCGGCGCACGGGUGCGUAACGCGUAUAGAAUCUACCUUGUACUAGGGGAUAGCCCUUGGAAACGAAGAUUAAUACCCUAUAGUAAGUAUUUAUGGCAUCAUUUAUACUUUAAAGGUUACGGUACAAGAUGACUAUGCGUCCUAUUAGUUUGUUGGUGAGGUAACGGCUCACCAAGACUUCGAUAGGUAGGGGCCCUGAGAGGGGGAUCCCCCACACUGGUACUGAGACACGGACCAGACUCCUACGGGAGGCAGCAGUGAGGAAUAUUGGACAAUGGAGGCAACUCUGAUCCAGCCAUGCCGCGUGCAGGAUGACGGCCCUAUGGGUUGUAAACUGCUUUUAUGUAGGAAGAAACACUCUCACGUGUGAGAGCUUGACGGUACUAC